rnacentral:rRNA from 1 species
UACAGAGGUCUCAAGCGUUGUUCGGAUUCAUUGGGCGUAAAGGGUGCGUAGGUGGCGCCGUAAGUCGGGUGUGAAAUUUCGGAGCUUAACUCCGAAACUGCAUUCGAUACUGCGGUGCUUGAGGACUGGAGAGGAGACUGGAAUUCAUGGUGUAGCAGUGAAAAUUCGUAGAUAUUAGGAAGAACACCAGUGGCGAAGGCGGCUCACUGGCCCGGUACUGACGCUGAGGUGCGAAAGCGUGGGGAGCAAACAGG